AUGACUGAAUCUCCCAGAAAGGCGAUUAUGCAGCCUCCGCUUAUCACUGAGCAAGAGUCAUGGUGCAUGGAUGUAAUGGAAAAUCAUCUGCAAGAAGCAAUGGACAUAAUGAAUUCAGAAAAGCAUCUACAGAUACAAAGUGAAGUGAUUGGAGACUCUGACCUUGUGAGUUCUGAAUGGUGGGGAGACCAAGCAUCCUGGGCAGCCUGGUAUCUCAAUUUUGUGGCCAGACCAGCACUGAUGCCCCAAAGAACAAAUAAUUACCUUUGGCAGUGGUCCAGUCCAGUUGCAGCCAAGAUAAAAAUUCUUCUGGAAGUUAUUCACAUUUGGACAGGAAGUUGGUGGUACCAACCAUAUGGAUAAACUGAGCUGAGUCUAAGCAUACUCUCCCUAGAGACCAAAGUGGGCUGGAGAAGCAUGUGCUUUCUAAGUAUUAUGAGAGAUAUUUGUAAUUUUGUAUGUGCUCAAAUUAAACAUCUCUUUAUAAGAGCUGAUUAAUUUAAAGUAGUUGAAUGGAUCUGGGGUGCUAGUUAUAUACCUCACAGAAGGAAAGAAUACAGCCAAUAGAAGUCUUUCCUGGGUAAUUGUCCUGGCCAUGAGUGAACUAGAGUUUACAUUAGCACUUAAUGGUGUUUGGGUAGGGAAGGUCAGAUGGAUUUAUAUGGAAAUCAGUUAGUCAUUAAGCAUUAUUAAACAUAGAUUAAAUGCCUACUAAGCAUCAGCCAUUGUGCUAGGGACUGGGGAGGAG
rnacentral:lncRNA from 1 species